rnacentral:rRNA from 1 species
AGUGAACGCUGGCGGUAGGCCUAACACAUGCAAGUCGAACGGCAGCACAGUAAGAGCUUGCUCUUACGGGUGGCGAGUGGCGGACGGGUGAGGAAUACAUCGGACUCUACUUUUUCGUGGGGGAUAACGUAGGGAAACUUACGCUAAUACCUCAUACGACCUACGGGUGAAAGCAGGGGAUCUUCGGACCUUGCGCGAUUGAAUGAGCCGAUGUCGGAUUAGCUAGUUGGCGGGGUAAAGGCCCACCAAGGCGACGAUCCGUAGCUGGUCUGAGAGGAUGAUCAGCCACACCGGAACUGAGACACGGUCCAGACUCCUACGGGAGGCAGCAGUGGGGAAUAUUGGACAAUGGGCGCAAGCCUGAUCCAGCCAUACCGCGUGGGUGAAGAAGGCCUUCGGGUUGUAAAGCCCUUUUGUUGGGAAAGAAAAGCAGCAGGUUAAUACCCCGCUGUUCUGACGGUACCCAAAGAAUAAGCACCGGCUAACUUCGUG